GAGUUUGAUCCUGGCUCAGGAUGAACGCUAGCGGGAGGCUUAACACAUGCAAGUCGAGGGGUAUAAGUAGCAAUAUUUAGAGACCGGCGCACGGGUGAGUAACGCGUAUGCAACCUGCCCUUUACUGGGGAGUAGCCCGUAGAAAUGCGGAUUAAUACCCCAUAGUACUGUUAGAUCGCAUGGUUUGACAGUUAAAGUUUCGGUGGUAAAGGAUGGGCAUGCGUGACAUUAGCUAGUUGGAGAGGUAACGGCUCACCAAGGCUACGAUGUCUAGGGGUUCUGAGAGGAAGAUCCCCCACACUGGUACUGAGACACGGACCAGACUCCUACGGGAGGCAGCAGUGAGGAAUAUUGGUCAAUGGGGGCAACCCUGAACCAGCCAUGCCGCGUGAAGGAAGACUGCCCUAAGGGUUGUAAACUUCUUUUGUACUAGGGUAAACUUGAUCUUGCGAGGUCAACUGAAAGUAUAGUACGAAUAAGCAUCGGCUAACUCCGUGCCAGCAGCCGCGGUAAUACGGGGG
rnacentral:rRNA from 1 species